rnacentral:misc_RNA from 1 species
AAGUCGUAACAAGGUUUCCGUAGGUGAACCUGCGGAAGGAUCAUUAAAGAGUUAGGGUCCUUUGGGCCCCACCUCCCAACCCUUUGUUUACUGAACCUCUGUUGCUUCGGCGGACCCGCCUCACGGCCGCCGGAGGACCGCCCCCAGGCGUCCUCUGGCCAGCGUCCGCCGAUAGCCACUCUCAAAACUCUUGAAUAAAUCAUGUUAUUGUCUAAGUCUAUGAUGCAAAUCAAUAAAGCAAAACUUUCAACAACGGAUCUCUUGGUUCUG